UAGCUAUGAUGAUAUUUGCGCUUCUUGUGGCAGUUGGGUCCGCCACUAUUGUCUGAUCAUGCGGACGAAGCAACAGCGCAUCUGAGCUC
rfam:Spinacia oleracea cultivar SynViroflay scaffold11539.con0004.1, whole genome shotgun sequence.